rnacentral:rRNA from 1 species
GGUUAAGCGACUAAGCGUACACGGUGGAUGCCCUGGCAGUCAGAGGCGAUGAAGGACGUGCUAAUCUGCGAUAAGCGUCGGUAAGGUGAUAUGAACCGUUAUAACCGGCGAUUUCCGAAUGGGGAAACCCAGUGUGAUUCGUCACACUAUCAUUAACUGAAUCCAUAGGUUAAUGAGGCGAACCGGGGGAACUGAAACAUCUAAGUACCCCGAGGAAAAGAAAUCAACCGAGAUUCCCCCAGUAGCGGCGAGCGAACGGGGAGCAGCCCAGAGCCUGAAUCAGUGUGUGUGUUAGUGGAAGCGUCUGGAAAGGCGCGCGAUACAGGGUGACAGCCCCGUACACAAAAAUGCACAUACUGUGAGCUCGAUGAGUAGGGCGGGACACGUGGUAUCCUGUCUGAAUAUGGGGGGACCAUCCUCCAAGGCUAAAUACUCCUGACUGACCGAUAGUGAACCAGUACCGUGAGGGAAAGGCGAAAAGAACCCCGGCGAGGGGAGUGAAAAAGAACCUGAAACCGUGUACGUACAAGCAGUGGGAGCACGCUUCGGCGUGUGACUGCGUACCUUUUGUAUAAUGGGUCAGCGACUUAUAUUCUGUAGCAAGGUUAACCGAAUAGGGGAGCCGAAGGGAAACCGAGUCUUAACUGGGCGUUAAGUUGCAGGGUAUAGACCCGAAACCCGGUGAUCUAGCCAUGGGCAGGUUGAAGGUUGGGUAACACUAACUGGAGGACCGAACCGACUAAUGUUGAAAAAUUAGCGGAUGACUUGUGGCUGGGGGUGAAAGGCCAAUCAAACCGGGAGAUAGCUGGUUCUCCCCGAAAGCUAUUUAGGUAGCGCCUCGUGAAUUCAUCUCCGGGGGUAGAGCACUGUUUCGGCAAGGGGGUCAUCCCGACUUACCAACCCGAUGCAAACUGCGAAUACCGGAGAAUGUUAUCACGGGAGACACACGGCGGGUGCUAACGUCCGUCGUGAAGAGGGAAACAACCCAGACCGCCAGCUAAGGUCCCAAAGUCAUGGUUAAGUGGGAAACGAUGUGGGAAGGCCCAGACAGCCAGGAUGUUGGCUUAGAAGCAGCCAUCAUUUAAAGAAAGCGUAAUAGCUCACUGGUCGAGUCGGCCUGCGCGGAAGAUGUAACGGGGCUAAACCAUGCACCGAAGCUGCGGCAGCGACACUAUGUGUUGUUGGGUAGGGGAGCGUUCUGUAAGCCUGUGAAGGUGGCCUGUGAGGGUUGCUGGAGGUAUCAGAAGUGCGAAUGCUGACAUAAGUAACGAUAAAGCGGGUGAAAAGCCCGCUCGCCGGAAGACCAAGGGUUCCUGUCCAACGUUAAUCGGGGCAGGGUGAGUCGACCCCUAAGGCGAGGCCGAAAGGCGUAGUCGAUGGGAAACAGGUUAAUAUUCCUGUACUUGGUGUUACUGCGAAGGGGGGACGGAGAAGGCUAUGUUGGCCGGGCGACGGUUGUCCCGGUUUAAGCGUGUAGGCUGGUUUUCCAGGCAAAUCCGGAAAAUCAAGGCUGAGGCGUGAUGACGAGGCACUACGGUGCUGAAGCAACAAAUGCCCUGCUUCCAGGAAAAGCCUCUAAGCAUCAGGUAACAUCAAAUCGUACCCCAAACCGACACAGGUGGUCAGGUAGAGAAUACCAAGGCGCUUGAGAGAACUCGGGUGAAGGAACUAGGCAAAAUGGUGCCGUAACUUCGGGAGAAGGCACGCUGAUAUGUAGGUGAAGCGACUUGCUCGUGGAGCUGAAAUCAGUCGAAGAUACCAGCUGGCUGCAACUGUUUAUUAAAAACACAGCACUGUGCAAACACGAAAGUGGACGUAUACGGUGUGACGCCUGCCCGGUGCCGGAAGGUUAAUUGAUGGGGU